rnacentral:sRNA from 1 species
ACCUGGAUCAUCCGGCUCGGCGGAAGC